UCCCAUGUGGUCUAGUGGUUAGGAUACCUGGCCAUCACCCAGGCGGCCCGGGUUCGAUUCCUGGCAUGGGGAA